rnacentral:rRNA from 1 species
GACGAACGCUGGCGGCGUGCUUAACACAUGCAAGUCGAACGGAAAGGCCCUGCUUUUGUGGGGUGCUCGAGUGGCGAACGGGUGAGUAACACGUGAGUAACCUGCCCUUGACUUUGGGAUAACUUCAGGAAACUGGGGCUAAUACCGGAUAGGAGCUCCUGCUGCAUGGUGGGGGUUGGAAAGUUUCGGCGGUUGGGGAUGGACUCGCGGCUUAUCAGCUUGUUGGUGGGGUAGUGGCUUACCAAGGCUUUGACGGGUAGCCGGCCUGAGAGGGUGACCGGCCACAUUGGGACAGAGAUACGGCCCAGACUCCUACGGGAGGCAGCAGUGGGGAAUAUUGCACAAUGGGCGGAAGCCUGAUGCAGCAACGCCGCGUGCGGGAUGACGGCCUUCGGGUGGUAAACCGCUUUCGCCUGUGACGAAGCGUGAGUGACGGUAAUGGGUAAAGAAGCACCGGCUAACUACGUG